UCUAGAGAGGGAAAGAUUGCCUACUAGUCUCUGCACCAAAUCACAUCCCAAAUAGAGCUUGCAAAGAGGCCUGCUUAGGGCAUCAUAUAAACCUCCUUCCCUAUUCCCAAUAUCCCCCUGCCAGCCCCCUUCCUUGCAGCAGCCAGGCGACGUUGAAGAUCUUGCCAAGAGUGUCAACCAGGAACGUGUCUUUUUUCCUGAAAUACAUUGUGGAUCAGUGGGCUGGCCCCUUAAGACCCCAGCGAUGCAUCUUGUUCGGAGCCCAGCACACAGUAACCCAGAAACAUAUGUGGUUUAAGAUGAGUCUUUAUGUACAGAACCUUGAAGAGCAUCCUCUAAAACAGUGUGUUCGAGUACCCAGUUGGAUGGAGUAAGCACACUACCCUGUCUCUCCCAGUGAAAUGCAACUACAAUACCUGGAGAGAAUUCAUGGAAUGCUGAGGACACUGAAAAACUAGAAUUCUUUUCCACAACAAGCCUAAAAAGGUG